rnacentral:lncRNA from 1 species
AAGUUCCAGGUCUUCCGUAUACCGUGCUCCUAUGUCAUUGCGGCAUGCGCACAUACUCGUCAGGACGCUUACAAACAUCUAUGUGAUGUUUACAAGGCCAUUAACAUUUUGGAUGUCUACAAUGAAAGCUUCGCGUUCUAGCAAUGGAGGAAUAUUGACCUUCAUAUCAAGGGCACAUAGUUUGACACAAUGAUGAGAUACGAAGAAAGAAAAA